UUGGUUAAGUUAGAAAGGGCGCACGGUGGAUGCCUUGGCACUAGGAGCCGAAGAAGGACGGGACUAACACCGAUAUGCUUUGGGGAGCUGUACGUAAGCGUUGAUCCAGAGAUUUCCGAAUGGGGGAACCCACUAUCUUUAGUCGGAUAGUAUCCUUACGUGAAUACAUAGCGUAAGGAAGGCAGACCCAGGGAACUGAAACAUCUAAGUACCUGGAGGAAGAGAAAGAAAAAUCGAUUUCCUGAGUAGCGGCGAGCGAAACGGAAAGAGCCCAAACCAAGAAGCUUGCUUCUUGGGGUUGUAGGACACUCUAUACGGAGUUACAAAAGAAAGUUAUAAAUGAAGCGGUCUGGAAAGGCCCGCCAAAGACGGUAACAGCCCGGUAGUUGAAAUGGCUUUCCCUCCAGAGUGGAUCCUGAGUACGGCGGAACACGUGAAAUUCCGUCGGAAUCCGGGAGGACCAUCUCCCAAGGCUAAAUACUCCCUAGUGACCGAUAGUGAACCAGUACCGUGAGGGAAAGGUGAAAAGCACCCCGGAAGGGGAGUGAAACAGUUCCUGAAACCGUGUGCCUACAAGUAGUUAGAGCCCGUUAAUGGGUGAUAGCGUGCCUUUUGUAGAAUGAACCGGCGAGUUACGAUUUGUUGCAAGGUUAAGCGGAAAAAGCGGAGCCGUAGCGAAAGCGAGUCUGAAUAGGGCGCAUAAGUAACAGGUCGUAGACCCGAAACCAGGUGAUCUACCCAUGUCCAGGAUGAAGGUAAGGUAAUACUUACUGGAGGUCCGAACCCACGCACGUUGAAAAGUGCGGGGAUGAGGUGUGGGUAGCGGAGAAAUUCCAAUCGAACUUGGAGAUAGCUGGUUCUCUCCGAAAUAGCUUUAGGGCUAGCCUCGAGGUAAAGAGUCAUGGAGGUAGAGCACUGUUUGGACUAGGGGCCCUUCUCGGGUUACCGAAUUCAGAUAAACUCCGAAUGCCAUGUA
rnacentral:rRNA from 1 species